AAAAACUAUUUCUCGGUCUCUGAUAAUUACAUUAACCCAUUGUGUAAGGUAAUUGUAUCACAGGCAGAGGGGAUGAUUUUGUGUGGGAGUGUCUGUGGGUAUUGUACGUAUUGAUUGGUUGUUCUGCAAAACCCUGUGGGCAGUACUAUACGUGUAAAAUGUGCAUAAAAGCAGAGUGUUUGAUUAAAAGCUUCAGUUCUACUUCACCCUCAAUUUGAGUGCCGUCUCUUAUUAGGGGAAUCUGCUACAAGGUAUUUCUAUGCUAGUCAUACUCUCUUGCUAUAAUCACUAAGUUCUUUUAAGAGCUUGUUCCUGUUUUGCUCGCUAAAGGAGUCUACGGUGGUUAUGGUGUCUGCUGGAGUGCUUGGGGCCUACAGGAAGCGCUAGGAACAUCCUCCAACGGAGUUACCCAGUUGGGGUGCCAGGUGAUCCGUUACAUUCGCCGAACGGGAAUUAGUCUCUGUGGCUGAAAAUUCAGUGUAGGAGAAGGUAAGGGUCAGCGGUGUUCAUGGAACUGUGUAGCCGAUUUCAGUUCCAUAAAUUUGGCUCCACACACCGCUGACCGCAUUUGAAUGAAAAAAAAGAUGGCGCUGCCACGUGUUCGUUUGUGCGAAUGGCGGCCCACCAGCGGUCGGCAAUUUACCUACAGCAGGCUCCCAACCUGGGAGGUAAAUUGCCUGCACACUUCCAGUUCUGGGUGGUCCGCCUGUGUGGUACUUGGUUCAGUAAGCCCCAUUUACUGAACCAAAUGGGAAAAGGACACAAACAAAGUAUAUUAGGGGGACAGGGGACACAGUCUUAAAGUGACAUUGUUCCCAAAAGUUACAGUAUGUCCCCAGAUGGUUCUUAAAGGGCCAGAAGCAUAAUAAAAUACAAUAUGCCCAAAUACUGUAUUUAAAGGGACAAAUCUCCCAGGGGCCAUAAUCAGCAGACAGGAAGCGGGCAAACAAGCUUCUCCAAUACCCAGUGGUGAGGUUGGUUUCGCCACAGUAGGUAUAUUAGUACUUCGGCAAUACUGUGCUUCAGAACUUCUGCAAUUCGGAAGUAUCCAAAUUGCCCGAAAUUUGUCCAAAUUGACAUUCGGAACAAAACGAAAUGCACACGUCUAACAAGUGGUACCCCUUUGUUCAUCAGGAGAAAUAUUAGGUCCCAGGCAAUCUUGCCACUGAUUCCCAUAUGUUAUGAGCAACCUGGAAGGUCAAGGUGGCUAUCCUUUCCCUCAUACACCCGGAAGGCCUGAGUAUACCCAGUCUCGCUCUCACAGAGCUUAUACACCUUUACACCAUACCUGGAGCGCUUGGAACAAAUGUCCUGCCUGAAUCCCAGCUUUCCCUUAUACUUCAUCAGGGAUUCAUCCACGCAUAUAUUGGUUCCAAGUGUAUAAGCAUCUGCAAAACUGGCAGCGAAGUGGGUAAUCAGGAGGCGGAUAUUAUAAUUUCAUACCUCUUCCUCGACAUACAUUGGGAGUAAAUGAGGUUACGAUGCCUCUUUACGAUGCCCAUCAGCAUAGUCAGUGCCCAGAAUUUUUUUCAUUCUGGCACUUUAAUGGGGACUCAUUGCUGCGUUGCCAAGAAGAGAGUCAGGCUUUGCAGCACGGAACUGAUGGGCGUAUAAAUUAGUUUGAGCGACAAUGUUCCCGAAUACAUCAUCACCCAGAAACACCACCCUAAACUUUUGGGGGCUAAACCCCCAAGAGUUUGCCACUCCUGCGACAUCUACAUUGAUGCCAGGAUUUGCGGUGGGGAGGGGGGGGAAUGGGGAUUAAUACAUUGAUUUUAUUUGGUUUUUUUUUUUUAAAUAUAUUUUUCAAAAAUUUAUUUUUCACUGAGUGCCUUGAGCCCUCAAGGCACUCAGCACACAGGCAAGCAUCAGAAGCCUGCCCGAUGUGGGGCAACCCGGAAGUGAUGGCUCCAUGGGAGCGAUCAUUUGGUGGCCCGGCCAUCAGGAGAGGUAUUGCAGGAUGCCUUGGCAUCAAGGCAUCGCUACAAUACUGUUAGAGCAUCUGUAAUACACAAAGUCACAUAGGAAGGGGCCACAAAGGGGGCAGGGAUGACCGGGAGAGUAAAUAGCCCUCAACUCCCAACAGCCCCAGCCAGCAGGAGCCACCCUAAAGGUAUGUGUUUUGGAUGUCGCUAUGUAUGUAGUGUUUGUAUUUGUGUGUGUCAGUGCAUCUGUAGAUCUUUGUAUCUGUGUGUGUGCCAAGGUGUUUAUCUGUAUGUAUGCAUGUGUGUGUCAGUGUGCAUAUUUGUAUGUCUGUAUCUGUUAAGACACCCCUGGUGUCUUUAAACAAUACCGCCGUUUAGUCAACCUUCCCCUUCUGCAAUACCAAUAAUCUCCGUUCGCAUGAACUGCAGUGUACGAACCAAACUCAGGGGAAGCGGCAAUCUCCCGACCGGGAUCCGUGAACGGCUCCAAACUCCCGAACGGAAAUCCACGAACUGCUGCUAGCCGCCGAACAACAACAUCCACCAAGCGGCUUUCAGUUCCAUCCAGCAGUCUCUAAACGCAAAGAAGAAAUCCCCCCAAUAACGAGACAGAAGCUCCGCAUUGAGGGUCAAACAGGAUCUGGCUUUACUGUGGGCUACCUGCCCGUAUUUAUGCAGGUCUCUCACUUGGUGGACACUCCCUUAGGGGACCAAAUGGGAGACUAAUGACAGAUAGACAUUGGGACAUUCCAGACAUAGUCACAGCUUUCACCCACAAUACACUAUGGUUUCCUCCCC
rnacentral:lncRNA from 1 species